AAGUCGUAACAAGGUUUCCGUAGGUGAACCUGCGGAAGGAUCAUUAAAAAAGCAUCACACGGGGUGACAAGCUCCUGGGAUGAGCGGUCCAGUGCGCGCCUGAUGUUGGAGCACAGUCUGACACAAGGGGGCAUGCGGAUCGCCAAAUCCCAGUUGAGCGAGUAGCCCCAUUGUGGAAAACAUGCAAUUCUUCUGUGUACCUAAUACUUGUUGCUUCCCUGGCAUUGCCAGGGAAGGUAUAAUCAAACUCUGUUUUCUUUGUAGUCGGUCUGAAGUUGUUUAUUCAUAAACGUUAAAACUUUCAACAACGGAUCUCUUGGUUCUC
rnacentral:misc_RNA from 1 species